GCUCAGUAACACGUGGAUAACCUGCCCUAAGGAAGGGGAUAACCUCGGGAAACUGAGGAUAAUACCCUAUAGGAUACCGAUGCUGGAAUGCCCGGUAUCCCAAAGCUCCGGCGCCUUAGGAUGGAUCUGCGGCCGAUUAGGUCGUUGUUGGGGUAACGGCCCAACAAGCCGAUAAUCGGUACGGGUUGUGGGAGCAAGAGCCCGGAGUUGGAUUCUGAGACACGAAUCCAGGCCCUACGGGGCGCAGCAGGCGCGAAAACUUUACAAUGCGGGCAACCGUGAUAAGGGAACCUCGAGUGCCUGUACAUGCAGGCUGUCUGGGUGUMUAAAACACACCCAAAGAAAGGGCCGGGCAAGACCGGUGCCAGCCGCCGCGGUAAUACCGGCGGCUCGAGUGGUGGCCACUUUUAUUGGGCUUAAAGCGUUCGUAGCUGGGUUGUUAAGUCUCUUGGGAAAUCUGGCAGCUUAACUGUCAGGCGUCUAAGAGAUACUGGCAAUCUAGGAACCGGGAGAGGUGAGGGGUACUUCGGGGGUAGGAGUGAAAUCCUGUAAUCCUCGAGGGACCACCUGUGGCGAAGGCGCCUCACCAGAACGGCUUCGACAGUGAGGGACGAAAGCUGGGGGAGCAAACCGGAUUAGAUACCCGGGUAGUCCCAGCCGUAAACGAUGCGCGUCASGUUUCGAUGACCACGAGUCAUCGAGGUGCCGAAGGGAAACCGUGAAACGCGCCGCCUGGGAAG
rnacentral:rRNA from 1 species